CAGAUUUCCUCAGGAAGAGUGGAAACAAUUGGAAAUACCAGGCAGGGUGUGUACCAUGAAUGAUACACAGGACGGUUGAGUGUCGGUCACAAACCCACUGGACUCCAAAUGGUCGACCACGGCAUGGAGGAGCUUGGGCUGGAAAAGAAAAAUGGACCAGAAUGAAUCAGAAAAAGAUAAAAAAAAGUCAACCUGCAGCGCAUGGCAACACAUGGCAUUUACAACAGUAGAGAAGAGUCCUACCUGCUUCUCAGUCUGAGAGGUGUAGUUUGGCACGUGGAAUCCUCAUCUCAAACUCCUCAAAGUACCUGAAGACACGUUCCUUACCUGUAGCUGAGCCAUCACCCUGGAUGGGACAUUCUUGUAUUUGGAGGAGGUCCAAAGAGCUUUGACUGGAACAAGACAAGACUGUGCU